UUCGGUUGAUCCUGCCGGAGGCUACCGCUAUUGGAGUUCGAUUAAGCCAUGCGAGUCUAGAGGCCUAGCCUCGGCGUACCGCUCAGUAACACGUGGGUAACCUACCCUAUGCUGGGGAAUAAGCUCGGGAAACUGAGAAUAAUGCCCCAUAGUCCACUACGCCUGGAACGGUGAGUGGAUCAAAGCUCCGGCGGCAUAGGAUGGGCCUGCGGCGUAUCAGGUUGUAGGGGGUGUAAUGUACCCUCUAGCCAUCCACGCGUACGGGUGUUGGGAGACAUUGCCCGGAGAUGGAUUCUGAGACACGAAUCCUGACCCUACGGGGUGCAGCAGGCGCGAAAACUUGGCAAUGCGAGAAAUCGUGACCAGGGAACUCCAAGUGGCAGGGGUAAGACCCUGUCUUUUUCCGACUCUAAAUAGGUCGGCGAAUAAGGGGUGGGUAAGGACGGUGCCAGCCGCCGCGGUAAUACCGGCGCCUCAAGUGGUAGUCGCUUUUAUUGGGCCUAAAACGUCCGUAGCCGGUCUGGUACAUUCGUGGGUAAAUCAACUCGCUCAACGAGUUGAAUUCUGCGAGGACGGCCAGACUUGGGACCGGGAGAGGUGUGGGGUACUCUCAGGGUAGGGGUAAAAUCCUGUCAUCCUGAGAGGACCACCUGUUGCGAAGGCUCCACACUAGAACGGAUCCGACGGUCAGGGACGAAGCCUAGGGGCACGAACCGGAUUAGAUACCCGGGUAGUCCUAGGUGUAAACGCUGUGGACUUGAUGUUGGGGACGCUCCGAGCGUUCUCAGUGUCGAAGCGAAGGUGAUAAGUCCACUGCCUGGGGAGUACGGUCGCAAGGCUGAAACUUAAAGGAAUUGGCGGGGGAGCACCGCAACCUGAGGAUUGUGCGGUUUAAUUGGAUUCAACGCCGGA
rnacentral:rRNA from 1 species